rnacentral:rRNA from 1 species
UACGUAGGGUGCGAGCGUUGUCCGGAAUUAUUGGGCGUAAAGAGCUUGUAGGCGGUUUGUCGCGUCUGCUGUGAAAAUCCGGGGCUCAACCCCGGACUUGCAGUGGGUACGGGCAGACUGGAGGUAUGCAGGGGAGAACGGAAUUCCUGGUGUAGCGGUGAAAUGCGUAGAUAUCGAGAGGAACACCUGCGGCGAAGGCGGGUGCUGGGCUGACACUGACGCUGAGGCGCGAAAGCUAGGGGAGCGAACGGG